UGACCAAUGGUGUAAUGGUAGCACUACAGUUUUUGGUACUGUCUGUCUUGGUUCGAAUCCAGGUUGGUCAA
rnacentral:tRNA from 1 species